UAUUAUCUUGAAUGGGCUCAAAGGUGAUAAACUGUGCUCAGGAGUUUUUUCGUGUUCUUCAAUCUCUUCAAGAUGAGGAACUUAGGGAUUCAUGUAUAUUUGAGGACAUACGCAUACUAAAGAUAAGAUUCCUGUGCUGAAUUUGUACUGUGGCAACUAUCCAGUCUUCAUCUGUGAA